rnacentral:rRNA from 1 species
GUAGGUGGCGAGCGUUAUCCGGGAAUUACUGGGGCGUAAAGGGCACGCAGGCGGCCAAGCAAGUCUGACGUGAAAGCUCCUGGGCUUAACUGGGAGAGGUCGUUGGAAACUGCCUGGCUUGAGGUAAUGAGAGGGGUGCGGAAUUCCCGGUGUAGUGGUGGAAUGCGUAGAUAUCGGGAGGAACACCAGUGGCGAAAGCGGCACCCUAGCAUUGACCUGACGCUCAUGUGCGAAAGCGUGGGGAGCAAACGGGAUUAGAUACCCCGGUAGUCCACGCUGUAAACGAUGAGCACUAGGUGUGGGUAGUGUUAAAGCUAUCUGUGCCGAAGCAAACGCGAUAAGUGCUCCGCCUGGGGAGUACGGCCGCAAAGGCUA